rnacentral:rRNA from 1 species
GCGUGCCUACCAUGCAGUCGAGCGAGAAGUCCCUUCGGGGGCGAGUAGAGCGGCGGACGGGUGAGUAAUACGUGGGUAAUCUGCCCUCGAGCCUGGGAUAACCCCGCGAAAGUGGGGCUAAUACCGGAUAAGACCACGUGACAUAUGUCGCGGGGUAGAAGGUGGCUUGUAUUUAUAUGAGCUAUCACUUGAGGAUGAGUCCAUGGCCUAUCAGCUUGUUGGUGAGGUAAGAGCUUACCAAGGCUAUGACGGGUAGCUGGUCUGAGAGGACGACCAGCCACACUGGGACUGAGACACGGCCCAGACUCCUACGGGAGGCAGCAGUGGGGAAUAUUGGGCAAUGGGCGCAAGCCUGACCCAGCGACGCCGCGUGGGUGAUGAAGGCCUUCGGGUUGUAAAGCCCUUUCGUGCGGAAAGAACAGUCCCGUGGUGAAUAUCCGCGGGAUUUGACGGUACCGCAUGAAGAAGCUACCGGCUAACUCCGUGCCAGCAGCCGCG